ACCUGCCCUAUGAAUAAUUUACUUUUAAAUGGCUGCGGUACUCUGACCGUGCAAAGGUAGCAUAAUAAUUAGUUUCUUAAUUGGGAACUGGAAUGAAUGGUCGAACGAAAAAAAUACUGUCUCAAUUUAAUUUAGAUUAGAAUUUUAUUUUUAAGUAAGAAAGCUUAAAUAUUCUUAAAAGACGAGAAGACCCUAUAGAAUUUUAUAUAAAUUAAUAUAAUUGAAAGUUAAAGUAUUAUAGAUUUAAUUAUAUUAAUUAAUAUUUGGUUGGGGCGAUUAAAAAAUUAAAUAAACUUUUUUUAAAUUAAACCAUUGAUUUAUGAAUAGAUGAUCCAUAUUUUAUGAUUAAAAGAUU
rnacentral:rRNA from 1 species